rnacentral:snRNA from 1 species
AUACCACCUGAUGCCAGGUUCAGUGUGAUCAUGAAUGCUCUGAUCCCGAGUGGAGGCUCACCGUUGCACCUCAGUGGGUUGAAGCUUGCGAUGGACCCUAAUUGGGUGCGCUUGGUCGUGUAGUUUUUGUCAGCGAGGAGGCCUUAAGGUCCUCCCUU